ensembl:lncRNA
GAGAAAAUAUGGGUUCACAGCAAAAUUGAGAUGGGACAGAGGUUUCCCAUAUGUCCUCUACCCCAACAUAUGCAUAACCUCCCCUACUGUGAACAUCCCCUAUCAGAGUGGUAAAUUUGUUAAAGUUGAUGAACCUACAUUGACAUAAUCUCCUGGAAUUUACAGUUUACAUUAGGGUCCAUCCAGUCUUAGUGUACAUUCUCUGGUUUUGAAACCAUUCACCUCAGAUUGGAAGCUGAACCCAUGUGCUGGGACUCAAGCCCAGCCAAAAUCCACAACCAAGAUCACACAUCUAGUUUCAGGACUUAAUUACGCUUUGGUUCUUGAUGUCUCAUGCCAGAAAGAAUUCAGUGAGAAAGUGAUAGGAAGUGGAUUUAUAUAGAGAAACACUCCACAGAGCGUGGGUCAUCUCAGAAGCUGAGAGUGGCCUCGAAAUGUGAUGAGGUUAGCUUUUAUGGGCUGGGAAAUUUCAUAGAGAAAUCUGCAUGCAGGUCAAGAAGCAACGGUUAGAAUUGGACAUGGAACAACACAUUGGUUCCAAAUCAGGAAAGGAGUACGUCAAGGCUGUAUAUUGUCACCCUGCUUAUUUAACUUAUAUGCAGAGUCCAUCAUGUGAAAUGCAGGGCUGGAUAAAGCACAAGCUGGAGUCAAGAUUGCUGGGAGAAAUAUCAAUAACCUCAGAUAGGUAGAUGACACCACCCUUAUGGCAGAAAGCAAAGAAGAACUAAAGAGCCUCUUGAUGAAAGUGAAAGGAGAAUAAAAAUUUGGCUUAAAACUCAACAUUCAGAAAACUAAGAUCGUGACAUCCGGUCCCAUCACUUUAUGGCAAAUAGAUGGGGAAACAGUGGAAACAGACUUUAUUUUGGGAGGCUCCAAAAUCGCUGCAGAUGGUGACUGCAGCCAUGAAAUUAAGACACUUGCUCCUUGGAAGAAAAGCUAUGACCAACCUAGACAGCAUAUUAAAAAGCAGAGACAUCACUUUGCCAACAAAGGACCAUCUACAAAGCUAUGGUUUUUCCAGUGGUCAUGUAUGGAUGGGAAAGCUGGGACUAUAAAGAAAGCUCAGUGCCAAAGAAUUGAUGCUUUUGAACUGUGGUGUUGGAGAAGACUCUUGAAAGUCCCUUGUACAGCAAGGAGAUCCAAACAGUCCAUCCUAAAGGAAAUUAGUCCUGAGUAUUCAUUGUAAGGACUGAAGCUGAAGCUCCAAUACUUUAGCCACCUGAUUCCAAGAAGUGACUCAUAGGAAAAGACUUUGAUGCUGGGAAAGAUUGAAGGUAGGAGGAGGAGAGGACAGGAUGAGAUGGUUGGAUCGCUCGUUGGAAAAGACCCUGAUGCUGGGAAAGAUU